GGACCCGUAGCUCAACGGUUAGAGCUGGCCGCUCAUAACGAUCUGGUUGCAGGGUCAAAUCCUGCCGGGUCCA
rnacentral:tRNA from 1 species